rnacentral:lncRNA from 1 species
AGCUCAAGGACACACUGAUUGGAAAAGGCCUCAAGGACACACUGAUUGGAAAAGGCACUUCUGAGCUGACGGAGAAGCUGGAGACGGCCGAGAACGAGAAUAAAAACUUGGUGGAGAGGCUCUCGAUGAUGGAAACGGACAUGAAACGUCUCGAAGAGGAGCUCAAGAGGACGGUGAUUGGAAAAGACACUUCUGAGCUGAUGGAGAAGCUGGAGACGGUAGAGAACGAGAAGAAGAGCUUGGCAGAGCGGCUCUCGCUGAUGGAAGCGGAGCUGGAGACGCUGAAGAGAGGCAGAGAUGAAGAGCUGGGAUCUGACCGCAGCGUCGCUGGUGGGCUGUGCUCUGCGGAGACGCGUCUCCAAGACCCCUCCUCUCCGACAGCAGCGCAGACGAGGAGGGAGAGAGAGACGCAUGCCAGGACUUCACACACACACACAGCGGCGCGUGACGAGCAGCUUCCAGCGUCUGACCGACUCCUGCCGCAGGUGGAGACGGGAGACGCUCAGGUCGAUGGAGACGCUGGCAGAGCCUCGCUCAUGAUGCAGACGCCGGAAAUGGACGGCGCUGAGCAUGUAAGUCUCUGUCAAACUCUUGCUGUUCGUUUUCAGCUUACAGCUGCUGCUCAACAGUCUCGGAGGAAAAAAAACAGGUGUAGGAUUUACUUGGAAACAAUUUUCACUUUGAAAUUGAUACUGAAGUUCAUAAAUAAUUGCAAAGAAAUGGCAAGUAACACACUGAACUGAAAAAUAAUAAUUUUUUACUGUGUAGAAAUGUGUGUAAAUGUGCUUGGGUGAGUGUGUGUGCGUCUGCUGUGGUUUAAGUGCCAUUAGGUGAAUUUGCGUUUUCGUAUUAGUGUCACUCUGACAUUUAUCAGAAACCUGCUGUUAAACCAUUGGUGGUGUUUCCUGCGCAGCAGAUCUUUCUCUGUAAUUGCUGCUCGAUCUCCAUCUUCCUGUGAUGGUCAUUAAAAUGCUUGGUUUCUGUCUGUUAACACAUCAAUCAGGACCGAGCCGGACCCUCUGCUCUUUGUGUCUCGUAUAAAAGAGCCUCACAGUCUCGUGAUGUGCUGAAGUGUGCGUGUGUGUGCGUGCGUGUGUGUGUGUGUGUGUUUGUGUGUCUGUGUGUGCGCGUGCGCGUGUCUGUGUGUGUGUCUGUGUGUGUGUGCGUAAGUGUGUGUGCGCGUGUGUGCGAGUGUGUGUGUGUGUGUGUCUGUGUGUCUGUGUGUGUGUGUGUGUGUGUCGUGUGUGUGUGUGUGUGUGUGUGUGUGUGUGUGUGUGUGUGGGGUGGGGGCUCAUAUGAACACUUUUGUUAAACUCACAAGACGUCUAGUCUGAAACCUCAGUGUUAUUUUAGUGUCAUUGAGAUGCUGUUAUAGUUUUUAUUAUUUUGAAUUAGUUUUUAUUUUUAGGUUUUGUGUAAUCAUUUUCAUUUUUGUAAAAAUGUCUAUAUACUUUUUAUUAAUUUUAUUUCAGUUGUUCAAGUUAAGCUAAACAAUGUUGCCUUGACAACUAGCUGAAAUAAAAUAAGUUUGUUUUUGUAUUUUAUUUUAUUUCUGUUGUUGUUUUUAAAGUAAAGAAAAUGUAUUUAAGUUUUUUUUUUUUUUUAGAUUACUAUAAUAAACAUUUAGUAGUAUUAUUAGUUUUUGAUAGUUUAGAUUAGUAUAAUAAAAGUUUUAUGGUUUUAGUUUAGUAUAUUAAGCAAAAUAAAUACGUUUUAAAACAUUUUUUUUAAGUGAAAUAAAGUACUUUUUUAUGGUUUAGUUAUGAUAAAGUUAUGAUAUGGAUUUGUUUAAUAAAUUAAAUAAAUUUGUAUGAUUUUAACUUUAUACUAGUAUUAUAAACUAAAUAAAUAUAAAUAAAUAACUAAAAUGUUUAUAGUUUUAGAUUAUUAUUAUAAACUAAAUACAUUUUAUUAUAAUUAACUUAAUUAACUUUGAUGGUUUUAGUUUUAGGCAGCAAACAGAUACUAAAUGCAGAAAUACUGACUGUUUCCAAACAAUCCUUCUGUCUGAUCAUUGGUCAUUCAGUCAGAUAGCCCCGCCUCCAGUCUGACGCCAUUGGUUGAGCCUGGAGUUGUCAUUUCAGGCCACACAAACUAAACAAAUAAACGUUUUAAUAGUAUACAGUGUUUUCACUCUUUAGGAUGCAAAAAUACCAGGUGAUUUUUUUUUUUUUUGGAUGAACCUUAAAACUUUUUCAUGGAAACCAAACGUAAUGGUCCUAAAACAGGCUUAGUUGCUUAUUGUUUUAUUUUAUUUGUAUUGUAUUUUUUUGUUUCCACCUUUAUUUGCUAUUUUGUUUAAUUUUCAUUAAAAUAAUGGAUGUACAGUAUCUACGCUGUGAAUAAUUUUUUCAUUAUGGUAAUAUUUGUUAAUUUAAUAAGUUAAUUAUUUUUCACAUUAGUGUUAUGAGAAUAAGAGCAUAUUUAAUUAUCAUAAAAAUAAUGCCUCAGCAACAAAUCAUAAUGGUCCAAAAUCAGGCUUUGCUGCUAAAAUAAAAUAAAAUAUUGUAUUAAUUUAUUCAAACUAUUUUUUUUUAAAUUUGUAUUUAUUUUUUAAACAUUUUUUUUGAAGUCAUUUGUAUGAUCCAGAGAUGUUCUUUGCGGUUUUCUGACACAAUAUUCCUAUUUUUCAGAUCAUCUCUCUGAUCCUUUAUCCUUAAAUAACGGGCUUAUUUUGUAACUGACCUUUUGUUUGAUGAUAUUUAGUGUUGAUUUCGGUCAUGUUUUUGCUGAUUUUCUCUAAUGUACAGUACAGGUCAAAAGUUUGGAAACAUUACUAUUUUUAAUGUUUUUGAAAGAAGUUUCUUCUGCUCAUCAAGCCUGCAUUUAUUUGAUCAAAAAUACAGAAAAAAAUGUAAUAUUGUGAUAUAUUAUUACAAUUUAAAAUAAUUGUUUUUAAAUUUAUUAUACUUUAAAUUAUCAUUUAUUUCAAUUUUUAGGAUCAUUAUCACAUGAUCCUUUAGAAAUCAUUCUAAUAUGAUGAUUCAUUAUCAAAGUUGGAAACAGUUCUGCUGCUUAAUAUUUUUUCAGAACAUGUGAUACUUUUUUAGGAUACUUUGAUGAAUAAAAAGUAAAAAAAAAAAAAGAAAGCACUGUUUUUAAAAUAUAAAUAUUUUGUAAUAACAAUAUACACUACUGGUCAGUAAUUUGGGGUCAGUAUUUUUUUUUUCUUUCUUUUUUUAAAUAAAAUCAAUACUUUUAUUCAGCAAGGAUGUGUUAAAUUGAUAAAAAGUGAUAGUAAAGAAAAUAUAUUAUUAGAAUAUAUAUUAUUAGAAUUUUUUUAUUUUAUUUUGAAUAAAUGCAGUUCUUUUUAACCUUUUAUUCAUCAAAUAUAUUAGACAGCAGAACUGUUUCCAACACUCAUAAUAAAUCAGAAUAUUAGAAUGAUUUCUAAAUGAUCAUGUGAUAGACUGGAUGUUACAUGUGACACUGAAGGCUGGAGUAAUGAUGCUGAAAAUUCAGCUUUGCAUCACAGGAAUAAAUUAUUUUUUUGUUUAAAGUAUAUUCAAAUAGAAAACUAUUAUUUUAAGUUGUAAUAAUAUUUCACAAUAUUACUAUUUUUUUUUUUUCUGUAUUUUUGAUCAAAUAAAUGCAGGCUUGAUGAGCAGAAGAGACUUCUUUCAAAAACAUAAAAAAUAGUAAUGUUUCCAAACUUUUGACCUGUACUGUAUAUAUAUACUUAUUAUUAUUAUUAAUAUUAUUAUUAUUGUUAUUGUUAUUAUUUCAUGUACUUAAACAUUCUUGUCAUCAUUACAUAAAUAAAUUAAAAGUACAUUUUUAAGCACUAUCCUUCUUUUAC